UUUAAAAUUUUUGAUUUAAAUCAUAAUUUAAUUGUGUGAUGAAAAUUCCUAAUUAAACAUUUUAAUUAGUCAUAUGAUGAACCUUUCAUCAUGCAACAAUUGCAGAAUUUAAUAACAAUCAUGCGCACCAUGAUCUUCCCAAGCCAUGCGCACCAUGUUGGAGUUCAUCAAGCAUGCCGCCACACCUCUUGAUCCAACCAACAAUGGAUCAAUCAUCUCAUGAUCAAAUCACACAAUUAAAUCAUAUAAUCAACAAUCUAAAUGGCAAAUAUAGUGGCUCUGAUACCAAUUGAAGGAGCGGAAGCAUGAAAAACACAAGUUUAGAUCAUUGAAAUUCAAAAUUUUUCAUCUAGGGUCACAUGCAUCAUGCAAGAUUUAUUUUUAUCUAUUUGAUUUCAAUGAUAAACAACAUAUUAAAACUCUUUUAAUAUGUUUUUGGAUCUGUAUUUGCCAUUUAAGAUUUUAAAAUUAAUCAGAUUAAUUUUAGAACCCUAGAUUAAAUCAAGAACGAUUACACUAACCUCUUGAUGCACUGCAGCGUGUCUGCGCCUUUGAGAUUCGUCUUCAGGACACCAGAUGUUGUCCCUCUAGCUUGUCCACACCAAGAUCACCAAUGGCAGCCCCUUGAACAGCUUCUCAAGCCUUUCCAAUUAAUUAGAAAUUGAGGUUUUGCCUUUUAGAGAGGUUGCAGAUGUAUAUUGGACACUAGAAAUAAUUUCUAGCAAUUUUAAUUCAAAGGGAAUGGAGUGAUUCUCUUUGAAUUGAUGAGAAAAGAUGAAAAUAUGAGAGGGAGAAAGAGGUGCUGCCACCUUGAGGAAGAGGAAGUGUUGUCUUUUGUUCUUCUUUCUUUUUCCUUUUAUAAUUAGGUCAUUAAGUCACUUAAACCCUAUCCACAUAUCACCACCAUAUUGCAUCUUAUUUUUAAUUGACCUAAUCACAUUAAGCCAAGUGUCAAAGCUAGACUUAAUCUUGACUUUGAUCACCUUGCAUGAUAGGAAGACAAAUGGCAAACUUAUAUAGUGCCAUGUGUCACCAUCUCAUGGUGCCACAUGUCACCUUGUGAAAUGACCAAAUUACCCUUGUGUUUUAAUUUUGAUUUCUCAACCCAAAAUAAUUAUUUC
rnacentral:misc_RNA from 1 species